AGACCUGAAUUGACUCCCCAAAAGCACUUUUACAAGGAUUAGGGUGGGUCUCCUGGGUUUGACAAUUAAAUAAACUGGUAUGGACCAUCCCCAUCUCCUUUUAGUAUUAAGUUAAAAUACAAUAUCCUAAACCCUAAUUCUACCCCCUUUCCAUUUUCCAACUAUUUCUUGUGUUCUUCUCUCUCUCUCUCUCUCUCUCAAUUAUGAAAAUCUCCAUUAUUAUGGCUUUCCCCUUAAUUCUAUAAUUUGCCAUUUGCAUUAGGGAUGAUAUCACAUUCUAGGCCAUUUUUUCAUUAUUCUAUCUUGUUUGUUAGCGUUGCUUAAAGAGAUCUUAUGAGUUUGUAUGGAAAAUAUCUGGUAAGUUCUACAAAACGUUAUAGGAAUUUUUACUUUUUUACAACACUUUCUCAGCACUCUCUCUUAAUUUUCAGCAGAACUUCAAUUUUCACAAGUUAAAAGAAUUAACUUUCUAUAUUUGGCAUCGCCAUAUGAGUGAACCAAGCAUAUCUCAAAGGUGUAUCUCAUCAGGGAUGGACCCAAUUCAGGCUCAAUGCAGGCAGAAGCCUGCACUGAACUUUGGGCCAGCCCACUUAAGCUAAAAAAAAAUAAUAAUAAUAAUAAAUAAAAUAAAUAAAUAAAAAAUAAAAAAACUUGGGGACAUAAUUGUGUUAAACUGGUGAAUAGGCGCUGGCAAUUCUUGAAGCUAGCUAAACUGUAUGGUAUGCAAUCUAAUGAGAGACCCCACCAGUGGCCCUGGAGCUUCUUCUAUAUUUACUGAUCUUUCUUGCAGGUCCCCUCACGUGCAACCUACCACCCACCCAGAUGAAUUUGGACCUCAACCCUUCUAGUUAAUACUAAAUCUCAACACUGAUUCUCUAUUGGUGUUACCUUUUGGUGGCAUUCACACCUACUUUUUCAGCUCUCUAACUGGAGAAAUGAAGAAAAUUGAGUUAUCUCACAACUUAGUAAAGAGAAGAUCGUUGUUAUUUUUAGAUCUUUGCUAAUAUCGCCCACACUGAUAAAAUUUCCUGUGUCCACCCCUGAAUCUCAUGGUGUUCUAUAUGUUCAAGAUUAGUUUCAUGUUACAUAUCGAAAAAGUGUGUUUCUGACCAGAAACGGAUGUAAGACAUGACUAGAAUUUUGCUGGUAUGAAUGCUAUUUUGAACAUUCAAAAUUAUUUGGUGUUAAAUGUGAUAAAAGUGUGGGUGCUUAAAAAUUUUGGACCUGAUAAGAUGUAACAGCUCCGCUAGAAUAUGGCUUUAACAAACUGCAAAUUUGGAAGUGGACAUUAUUAUUUACAAUUGGAUUUUAAUUGUAGGAGUUUGUGUUUCCAUUUGCAACCUAUGACCUUGAUUCUCAUAUCAGCAACUUCUAAAAGAAGGCAAAAUGGACCACUCAUACUAUCUUUGUAAGAUUUUUUAUGCUGUUUGACAAAUCAAAAUAUUCCUUCUAAAUGAAAUCAAUUUCUUCAUUUUAAAACGACGCGUUUCGUAUAUUUAUGAGAUUAAUUACGCAUUAAAUUUAUGAACCAUAGAAGCAACUGAAGACAUUUACACGUUCAUAAUCACUAAAUUAUAUUACAUUGAGCAAAAUUUUCGAUUUAUUAUUAUUUCUGGAUCCUAAAUCAGUAUCAUAUGAUGAGGUGAUCAUCAUGCGGUCGAAAUAAGCACUGCUGCUGAUCUGCACAUUCAGUGUAUUGUUUGUCAGAAGUUCUUUUUUCAGAAUACCUCUUCCAUUAAAUAAAAUUACCCUGUCAGUAUCUUACUCUUCUUCUGCCUUUAGUUGAUUCUUAAUUGCAUAUUAAAUAUGUUUAAUUCAUUGAAUUUAUGAUUAUACUUCUUGCGAACUUUGGUUCUAAUUCUUUUGCAACUUUGUUUAAAAACGCUGUUUAAGGGGUCGAAGUUUAGAUGGAUUAAGAAUAUCUGUAGUCUGUCGAUAGUAAAAUCAAGAAAAGUUUGAAUGCCGCAUUGUCAAAUUUUCUUUUGAAUUACAUUAUCACAAGCAAUUGUUUCUUUCCUGAAUCUCAAUAAAUAUCCUAAGAUAUGACCUUAAAGUCAAAGUGAACACUAUCAAUGAUCCUCAUUUUUUAUGCUGAUCAUUUACAAUGCAUGGUGUUGAAAAGUAAGAAAACUGCAUUUACUUAUUUGUUGGUUCAUGUUUGAAGGUACGUUUAUGAGAUGGCUUCAAGUAAAUUGCUAUUAGUUUUUCAUGCAACUUUUGGUUACAAAAGAUUUGAUCAAGUUGUGCGUUUCUUUCUAUUAUGAUUCUCGUAAACCAAAUUACUUCUUUCAUUGUGAUUUCUCUUUUGGCCUGUAUGUCAAGUUAUUAAUCCUAGCUCCUAUUUAACCGUGUAAAAUUUCCCCCUUUCUUCCAGGUUGACAUGCGAGCUCGAAUUCGUGGAAACAAAGGUUACUAGUUGUUGGUGGAUCAUUUGCUUUAAAAAUACGUGGAGUGAUGCAACAUUCAUGAGAUUGAACUUCCAAAACCCAGCCCCAACAGCCCGAUGAAGGAUGGCGAUAGAGAGUAAAGACCUUGAAAUUUCACUUGCCAAACCUGAUCUAUUAUGCUUGUUUAGUGAAUGUAAAGAAAUUCAGAUUUCUAGUUAAUACUUGGGCAAGGAUUUUAUUUUUCGACACUAAAUAAGAGGAAUUAUCUAGUCAAAAAGAUACAAGCAUGUUUGGUAUAUUGGACUUGAAACCUAAUCCUAUUCUUCCACAUGCUGAACAUACAAGUAAAGCAUUUUACUUGGUUUUUAGAAAUUUUUAAGGGGGAGUAUAACUUUUGCUACUACAUUUAUUAAAUUUUUAUAAUAUUGAAACGUGGAUUAUCCAAUUGGAAUGUGA
rnacentral:lncRNA from 1 species